rnacentral:rRNA from 1 species
GACAGAGGAUGCAAGCGUUAUCCGGAAUGAUUGGGCGUAAAGCGUCUGUAGGUGGCUUUUCAAGUCCGCCGUCAAAUCCCAGGGCUCAACCCUGGACAGGCGGUGGAAACUGCCAAGCUGGAGUACGGUAGGGGCAGAGGGAAUUUCCGGUGGAGCGGUGAAAUGCGUAGAGAUCGGGAGGAACACCAGAGGCGAAGGCGGCGACCUGGACAAGCACUGACACUCAACUACGAAAGCGUGGGGAGCAAACAGG